rnacentral:rRNA from 1 species
UACGUAGGGCGCGAGCGUUGUCCGGAUUUAUUGGGCGUAAAGAGCUCGUAGGCGGCUUGUCGCGUCGAAUGUGAAAUCUCAGGGCUCAACUCUGACAUUGCAUUCGAUACGGGCAGGCUCGAGUUCGGUAGGGGAGACUGGAAUUCCUGGUGUAGCGGUGGAAUGCGCAGAUAUCAGGAGGAACACCAAUAGCGAAGGCAGCUCGCUGGGACGUUACUGACACUGAGGCGCGAAAGCGUGGGGAGCGAACAGG